CUGUAGCUGCCAAUGUGUGUAAUAGAUGGGAAGAUAAUUGUCUUUGCGUGAUCACCAACCUCCGCUUAGGAGGUUUAAGUACCCAGUGCCUCAAGGGCGGCACUCUGACUCCCCUCUCUCAAACCUGCUCUGAAAUCGGAGUCUCCCUGUAGUCCCAGCUGGCCCAGAACUCACUAUGUAGACCAGGCUGGCCUUGAGCUCACAGAGAUCUGCCUGCCUCUGUCUCCUGAGCACUGGGAUUAAAGGCAUGGACUGUUACAGCUGAAGUCAGGUAGGAAUUUCAUCAGGGAAACUUGUGAUGUGGAUUAAAUGCAACAGGAGAUUCACAGGAAGGAUGCCCGUUUUCAGUUCCAGCCAACAAUCAGCAGCCAGUGGCCAUACCUGCCUCCCUUCCAACGCUGGAGUUGGAUGAGGUCUUUUGUCUUAAUUACUUUUCUGUUGCUGUGAUAGAAACACUAACCAAAGCAACUUAUAGAAGGAAGAGUUUAUUUGAGCUUA